rnacentral:rRNA from 1 species
UCGAGAAUCUUCGGCAAUGGGCGAAAGCCUGACCGAGCGACGCCGCGUGUGGGAUGAAGGCCUUCGGGUUGUAAACCACUGUCGUAGAGGAGGAAAUUGGCCGGGGUUCUCCCCGGUCAUUGACCUAUUCUAGGAGGAAGGACGGGCUAAGUACGUGCCAGCAGCCGCGGUAAUACGUACCGUCCAAACGUUAUUCGGAAUUACUGGGCUUAAAGGGUAUGUAGGCGGCGCUGUUAGUCGGGUGUGAAAUCCCUCGGCUCAACCGAGGAAUUGCGCCCGAUACUGCAGUGCUUGAGGGAGACAGAGGUAAGCGGAACUGAUGGUGGAGCGGUGAAAUGCGUUGAUAUCAUCAGGAACACCGGUGGCGAAAGCGGCUUACUGGGUCUCUUCUGACGCUGAGAUACGAAAGCUAGGGGAGCGAAGGGGAUUAGAUACCCCCGUAGUCC